AAGAUAGAAUGUUAAAUACAACACAACUGUAAAAACUUUUCUGUGUUAAGACUGUAUUGUUCAUUGAUUUUUCAAAGUUUACAUGAUAUUUUAAAUUUAUAUGAGUUUUAUGUUUACUGAUUCUUUGAAAUGGGAUUUUUGUAAACUUUUUGCCUUCAAUUCAAAACAUGAACUAACAGUUUCUCAAAAAUAAUAAUUUUUAACAUUUAUAUGUACAUUGAUAUGUGAUAUUCGGUUCUUUUGCAAUAAGAGAAAAAAAAAAGGAAGUUUAUUGGAAUUGAAGUGAAGAAGAAAAAUUGGUUGAAAUUUGCAUGAUCAAGAAAUAGAGCAUUAAUAUUGUUAUUGUUGGCUUUGUUGGACUUUCUUAACCAAAGUAUUUUGAUGAUAUCAUGGUAAU
rnacentral:lncRNA from 1 species